AUAGUUUAAUAACGUGUGUAGUCUUUCGUCGGUUUACGAUUCGUGUUAGUGUUAGGUGGAUAACAAUACUUUACAACGACAAUAGUUUUUUCAUAUUUAGCAUGUAGAUAAAUUCAUACUGACGAAACAAAGCGCAAACUAAACAAGAUGGCUAACAUGAUCGUGAUGACCAUGUGGGCAUGUGUUGCUGCUUUAAAAGUGAUUGAUGCAUGCGAUGUUUCGCUAUCUACAAGUUCCAACAUUGUGCAAAAUGGUUCUAAUGUCAGUCUAGCCUGUCGUGCCUGCAAACUGCCAAAUACAAUUUCAAAUUUUGAGUUG